UACUGGACUCAAUUGUGAUUGUGAACUGUAUGUGUGUUGAAUGUAUACUGUGGUUUGACUGAAAAUAUAUAUGAAUGCAUGUGAAUUGAAGUAGACAUAACGUCGAAUGUAUAUCGUGAAUGUCAUGGAAGAUAUAUAUAAGUGUGUGUAUGUUGACAGGACAAAGAUUGUAGAUUGUGUUGGUAUGAGAUAUAGAUAUGAACUUGUGAUUCUCGUUUAGAUUGGGUGUACGAUUACGCUAAAGUAUGAUUGGGUUAAUAAGGAUUGGCCUGUUUGUUGUUUGUUGUUUUUUCUUAGUAAUGGUAGUGUGUGAAAGGGAAUUUGAUAACUCUAUAUAUUGUUUAAUUAUGGUUUUGAAUUCUGUUUUGUGUCUUUAAAAGGACGUUGAACUUCAAAAUCGUUUUAAUAGGGUCCUUGAACUUUGAUUUUUUCUUUAGGGGAAGGGGUGUGUAAGGGAUUUUGAUUUUAGUCAUUGAAUGCCAGUGUGUAGCGCCCACCUCCAGGUGACGGAUUUUCAGCAGCCACCGUCGCCCUCUUCCAAUUUUGUUUUCGACAACCCUCUCUAUUCUAUGUUGCUGUUUCCAAUGGGGUUGUAUUAUCUUCUGGAGUAUACAUGUUGGAUUUGUUGUAGAUGUAGCCAUGGUUGCUUCCUCCUUCGUUGCUUAUUCUUAACUUCAUGUAACUUAUAGCCAUCUAAUUCGUUUCUUCUUCCUAUUUUUUCUCCUCUUCUAAUGGCAUCUUUCAUUCUCUACAUCCAACUUGCGCAACCGUGAUAUAUUCUCCAAGGUAAGUAUCUCUUUAAUGGACGUCAAAAGACUGCAUCUUGAAAAAUGAUUUCAUCCAAGAUAUAUUCAUAUGGGCUUUUUUAUUCCUUUGAAAGAAUGCCAUUCAUAUAUUACACAUCCUUAUACCUGAGUUUACAAGGUUGUUAUAGUACUUUCGCGUUUCAUGAGUGAAAAGAUAGAAUCAAGUUGCGGAAUUACGUUCAUUUUUAGAGCUCUUAAGUGAUUGAAGAUAGUUGAUGUAUAUUUAUUUUCUCAAAAGUCACAUUUUUUGCAAGUUUGGUUUACUUUGGAUUUAUUAAAGAUAAUACCAGUUCACUUAUUGAUUCCAUUCAUUCCCGAAAAAAUUCUUUAAAAAAAUUUAGUUUAACACCAAGAAUCGCUUUGAGGAUUUAUCUCCUUAAGGGUUGUCGGAACCAUAUACUGAACAUCUACAAUACGUUUGAUCAUAGUUAACUUUACAAUGAUCUAGUUGAUAGUCUUCCUAUUUGUUGAGCUUCUCUUUUAGAUUGAAGGAAAGGGAAAGACUUGGCUAGGUUGUGGCAAGCAAACUUCUUCGCUAUUAUGUGGAGAAAUUUAGAGGGGAGGCUAGGGAGUUAGAGAGUUUUUUUGGAAAAAAAAAAAGAGACGGGACUUUACAUUAAGAGAAUGAAAAAAAAGACCAAUGUUCAAAGAAGUGAAAAAGAGCAACAUAGCACAAAAAAAAGACAUAGGAACAUAAUGCAAAAAGUAAGCUAGAGAGGUGAUAAGGAUAAUUAGUAUAUUUUAGUUAAUUGGUUAAUUGUCUUAUUUUCCUGUAAGGCUAUAGAUAGCCAAUUUAGAGUGUAUUUGAACCUCUUGAAUAUCUUUCCAAUAUAGAACGUUGUUCUUGGAGAGCUUUUUCUCAUCUCUAAGGAAUGAGAUUUCUCUUGUUCCAGAAUGGAUUUGGCAUGGUACUCCAACCUGCUGCAUCAAGAGGUUUAAUUAUUCAGUUUGGGCAUUGAUCACUAGGACUUUUUGUAAUUGUGAUAAUGAUCUUGUUCUUUUUUAUUAGAUUGUUUUAUGUGAUUAGUCAUUGACUCCUUUUUAUGAGUAUUACGUCUUUUUUUUGUUUUUCUUAUUGCAAUUUGGUUUUGGUAUUUCUGUUGUAUGUCUUUUUAUUAUUAUUAUUGCAAUUUGGUUUUGGUAUUUCUGUUAUGAAUAGAGUUUUGUUUGCCCUUGGUUCUUUUAUUUUUUCAAUAAACGUUCGGUUGCUUAAAUAAAAUGGUUCUCUGGACAGAAGUGAAUUGUGAGUUUACUGAAUUUGGUAAAUUUAGAAGCAUUCCUCUGUGCAUCCUCUAGUAGAUUUUGGAUUUUCCUCUUCCACUGUAAUGGAAUUGGACCGAGAAAAGUUAAUGUGUUCCAGUUAUUUUACGGUGCUGGCACUUACAUGUUUGGAAUUGAUGAUGAACGAAUAAUUGAUGCUACAAGGGCUGGAAGCAUUGCUCAUCUGAUCAACCACUCUUUCGAAUAACUGUUGCUCCUCACAGAAGUGUUCAAGGAUAAAUAAAGGUUCAUAUUAGAAGUGGACGUCCAUUAGUUUUGGUAUGUAUGUAAAUUAUUUUAAAUCUAAGUAUCUGAUUUCCUAAUAGUUGAAAACCUUAGUUUAUUGACAAGAAAUCAAAUGGUUACUUCUGAAGUUGGUUGAUUGUAUUUGGUUAUGUCUACUAAUGAGAAUGACUUUACCUUAAGGGGAUAGACUUUAGUUUUGGUAUCUCCAAUUGAGAAUUUAGCCAUUGUGCUUACUCUUUAUGGAGUAUCUAAAGACAAGAAAUCGACACUCCAAUGCUAUGAAAAUUUUCCUAUAAGGUAACAUUUAUAGUCUCAUGUUCAUUUGGUAUGUUAUUUUAUUUGCUUACUUUGUAAUACUAUUCUAUUUUAGAGCUAUUUAGUCAAUUGAUUGUAAAUUUUGACUACAGCUGAUGAUAUGUGGGGAAGAUAUUCAUAGUUCAUCUUUAUUGGCGAUGAUUGCAUAAUACAAACUGUUUAACUCUAAGGAUUACAAAUUGUCGUACAUGUAUUGUCGUAGGCUGUUUUGUUCUAAGGACUAGGAACAACCCAAGAAGUUGUUCAAUUUGCAGUGGCCAUUUGGUUGGACGUUCUUCUUCUCCUUGAUCUCUUUCUCCUCUUCUUAGGAACUUCAUUUUCAUUAUCAGAUUUGAAGAGGGACCACCAUGAGUGGGGUAGUAAAAUGAAUAGAGAAUGGGAGAGUGAGCUGGGUAUGUUUUUGGUAUGUGUAUUCUAGAGAGAAAGAGUAGCAGUAUGUUUUUGUUUGCUGUGUUUGCCUAAUAUAGUCCUCAUGGUCUUCUCUUUUCAUUUCAUGGAAUCAAGUGUUGAAGUUCUUGUUUGUGUUCUGUAUUUUGUUGAGACGUUGAUUUAGUUAUUCAUUGACUGUACGUAUGUGUUAUGGAUUCUUUGUAGGUUCAACUGGAGUCGACAAGUUCAUGAGUUUUGUUUCAAAUAUCAUUUCCAGAAACGAACAUUCUCGGUUGGUCCAGUCAAAUAUAUUCGAAUGCUAUUUAAGAUAUUUUUUGAUUAAGGGUUAGUAUUUCGUACAUGUGGAUUACUGAAACUUGUAUUAAGAUGUACAAAUAUUAUAAAUCGUAUUAUAGUGUAUAUAUAUUAAAGUGUUGGCUA